CACAAACCGACAAGCCUUAGUAUCCUGAAUACUGGGACUAAGAUUCUGACCUGAAACUGAGGACUUUUUAUAACACUCUAACUGAACACUUACGAAGAUUACAAAUCAUCUGGGUUGUUAUUGGGAAACAUUCAGGAUGACGAGAAAAGAACUGAGAAUCGUGUUCAUACUGAGUAUCAUUCUGAGAUCUGUAACUGGACAAAGCACAAAUGAAACAUCUACAACACCAACACCUACAACACUAGCACCUACAAACGCUACAGCUACUACACAAGCAAAUGCUACUACUGGUAAUGUAACAGUUUCGACAGCAGCUACAACAGCAGCACCUACAAACGCUACAGCUGGUACACAAGCAAAUGCUACUACUGGUAAUGUAACAGUUUCGACAGCAGCUACAACACCAGCAACUACAAACGCUACAGCUGCUACACAAGCAAAUGCUACUACUAGUAAUGUAACAGUGUCGACAGCAGCUACAACAGCAGCACCUACAAACGCUACAGCUACUACACAAGCAAAUGCUACUGCUGGUAAUGUAACAGUUUCGACAGCAGCUACAACAGCAGCACCUACAAACGCUACAGCUACUACACAAGCAAAUGCUACUACUAGUAAUGUAACAGUGUCGACAGCAGCUACAACAGCAGCACCUACAAACGCUACAGCUACUACACAAGCAAAUGCUACUGCUGGUAAUGUAACAGUUUCGACAGCAGCUACAACAGCAGCAUCUACAAACGCUACAGCUACUACACAAG